UACGGAGGAUGCGAGCGUUAUCCGGAUUUAUUGGGUUUAAAGGGUGCGUAGGCGGAUCGUUAAGUCAGUGGUCAAAUUGAGGGGCUCAACCCCUUCCCGCCAUUGAAACUGGCGAUCUUGAGUGGAAGAGAAGUAUGCGGAAUGCGUGGUGUAGCGGUGAAAUGCAUAGAUAUCACGCAGAACCCCGAUUGUGAAGGCAGCAUGCCGGCUUCCGACUGACGCUGAAGCACGAAAGCGUGGGGAUCGAACAGG
rnacentral:rRNA from 1 species